rnacentral:rRNA from 1 species
GACGGUAUGGUAUUGGCUUACCGUGGCAGUGACGGUUAACGGGGGAUUAGGGUUCGAUUCCGGAGAGGGAGCCUGAGAAACGGCUACCACAUCUAAGGAAGGCAGCAGGCGCGCAAAUUACCCAAUUCUAACAGCAUAAGAGAGGUAGUGACAAGAAAUAACAAUACAAGGCAGUUAAAAUGCUUUGUAAUUGGAAUGAUAGAAAUUUAAACACUUUUUAAAGUAUCAAUUGGAGGGCAAGUCUGGUGCCAGCAGCCGCGGUAAUUCCAGCUCCAAUAGCGUAUAUUAAAAUUGUUGCAGUUAAAAAGCUCGUAGUUGAAUUUCUGCUAAAAAUAACCGGUCUGCUUUUAACAAAAGUGGUAUCUUGGUGUGUUUUUAGCAAUAAUGUCCUUUGAAAUGUGUUUUACUUUGUUGUAAAAGAUAAUAUUCAGGAUUUUUACUUUGAGAAAAUUAGAGUGUUUCUAGCAGGCUAAUGUUUUGAAUACUGCAGCAUGGAAUAAUAAAAUAUGAUUUUGGUUCUACAUUGUUGGUUUUAAGAGCUGAAUUAAUGAUUGAUAGGAACAGUUGGGGGCAUUUGUAUUUAACUGUCA